rnacentral:lncRNA from 1 species
UGGCACCCGCGGCGGCCGCUCCCCGCGCGCUCGCUCGCACGCCGCGACGCGUGUACUAUGUGAAUGUUUCUAUCCGCAUUUUUAUCAGUUUUUAAGUGAGCGAAUAUUGGAGGGCUUUCGACGAUGCGGGCCGCGGGCGCGUGACCACGGACGGGCUGCUGAGCGCUCUGGCCCGCCUGCGCCGCCCGCCGCCCCCCCUCACCCACCCGCACAACACACUACCCUCACGACCCUCGGAUGGGCGUACCCAGGCCCCCAAGAUCCAAUCGUCUCGUCCCUCCCCUGAACACCCCGCAGGUGCGGAGGGCAGCAUGACGGUGGCGCACGGGGACGGCUCCCCGGAGCGGCUGGGCGGCGCGCUGCGGCGUCUGCACUACCGCGCCACGCGCCGCGCGCACUCCGCGGCCGCCCGGCACCACUCCGCCACACCCAAGAAGAAAUGUUGGCGACUAGACCAUCACCCGAACACUGCCACCGACCGUACGACGAGCGACGCCACCCCACCAGUCGCCAGCCAGAAACAACUAGCGCCACCUAGCAUCGGGACGAGUCAACACGAGAUAGUCGAGUGACGUCAUAUCCUGCUCAGACUACUUAUUUCCAACAAUUUUGCUUUUCCAUUUUUUUUUAAUUAUUG